rnacentral:rRNA from 1 species
UACGUAGGGGGCGAGCGUUGUCCGGAAUCAUUGGGCGUAAAGGGUGCGUAGGCGGCGCGGUAAGUCGGGUGUGAAAUCUCGGAGCUUAACUCCGAAACUGCAUUCGAUACUGCCGUGCUUGAGGACUGGAGAGGAGACUGGAAUUUACGGUGUAGCGGUGAAAUGCGUAGAUAUCGUAAGGAAGACCAGUGGCGAAGGCGGGUCUCUGGACAGUUCCUGACGCUGAGGCACGAAGGCCAGGGGAGCAAACGGG